ACGCUAGCUACAGGCUUAACACAUGCAAGUCGAGGGGAAACGGCAUUGAGUGCUUGCACUCUUUGGACGUCGACCGGCGCACGGGUGAGUAACGCGUAUCCAACCUUCCCAUUAUUGUGGGAUAACCUGCCGAAAGGCAGACUAAUACCGCAUAGUCUUCGAUGACGGCAUCAGAUUUGAAGUAAAGAUUUAUCGGUAAUGGAUGGGGAUGCGUCUGAUUAGCUUGUUGGCGGGGUAACGGCCCACCAAGGCGACGAUCAGUAGGGGUUCUGAGAGGAAGGUCCCCCACAUUGGAACUGAGACACGGUCCAAACUCCUACGGGAGGCAGCAGUGAGGAAUAUUGGUCAAUGGACGGAAGUCUGAACCAGCCAAGUAGCGUGCAGGAUGACGGCCCUAUGGGUUGUAAACUGCUUUUGUAUGGGGAUAAAGUUAGGGACGUGUCCCUAUUUGCAGGUACCAUACGGAUAAGGACCGGCUAAUUCCGUGCCAGCAGCCGCGGUAAUACGGAAGGUCCAGGCGUUAUCCGGAUUUAUUGGGUUUAAAGGGAGCGUAGGCUGGAGAUUAAGUGUGUUGUGAAAUGUAGACGCUCAACGUCUGAAUUGCAGCGCAUACUGGUUUCCUUGAGUACGCACAACGUUGGCGGAAUUCGUCGUGUAGCGGUGAAAUGCUUAGAUAUGACGAAGAACUCCGAUUGCGAAGGCAGCUGACGGGAGCGCAACUGACGCUUAAGCUCGAAGGUGCGGGUAUCAAACAGGAUUAGAUACCCUGGUAGUCCGCACAGUAAACGAUGGAUGCCCGCUGUUGGUACCUGGUAUCAGCGGCUAAGCGAAAGCAUUAAGCAUCCCACCUGGGGAGUACGCCGGCAACGGUGAAACUCAAAGGAAUUGACGGGGGCCCGCACAAGCGG
rnacentral:rRNA from 1 species